rnacentral:rRNA from 1 species
AACGAACGCUGGCGGCAUGCCUAACACAUGCCAGUCGAACGAGACCUUCGGGUCUAGUGGCGCACGGGUGCGUAACGCGUGGGAACCUGCCCUUAGGUUCGGAAUAACUCCCCGAAAGGGGUGCUAAUACCGGAUAAUGUCUUCGGACCAAAGAUUUAUCGCCUUUGGAUGGGCCCGCGUUGGAUUAGCUAGUUGGUAGGGUAAAAGCCUACCAAGGCGACGAUCUAUAGCUGGUCUGAGAGGAUGAUCAGCCACACUGGGACUGAGACACGGCCCAGACUCCUACGGGAGGCAGCAGUGGGGAAUAUUGGACAAUGGGCGAAAGCCUGAUCCAGCAAUGCCGCGUGAGUGAUGAAGGCCUUAGGGUUGUAAAGCUCUUUUACCCGGGAUGAUAAUGACAGUACCGGGAGAAUAAGCUCCGGCUAACUCCGUG